CCUACGGGGUGCAGCAGUGGGGAAUAUUGCACAAUGGGGGAAACCCUGAUGCAGCGAAGCCGCGUGAAGGAAGAAGUAUUUCGGUAUGUAAACUUCUAUCAGCAGGGAAGAAAAUGACGGUACUUGACUAAGAAGCACCGGCUAAUUACGUGCCAGCAGCCGCGGUAAUACGUAGGGGGCAGGCGUGAUCCGGAUUUAUGGGGGGUAAAGGGAGCGUAGGCGGUUUGGUAAGUCAGAAGUGAAAGCCCGGGGCUCAACUCCGGUACUGCUUUUGAAACUGUUGAACUAGAUUGCAGGAGAGGUAAGUGGAAUUCCUAGUGUAGCGGUGAAAUGCGUAGAUAUUAGGAGGAACACCAGUGGCGAAGGCGGCUUACUGGACUGUAAAUGACGCUGAGGCACGAAAGCGUGGGGAGCAAACAGGAUUAGAUACCCCGGUAGUC
rnacentral:rRNA from 1 species